rnacentral:rRNA from 1 species
AAGUCGGGCUUAGUGAUCCGGUGGUUCCGCAUGGAAGGGCCAUCGCUCAACGGAUAAAAGCUACCCCGGGGAUAACAGGCUUAUCUCCCCCAAGAGUCCACAUCGACGGGGAGGUUUGGCACCUCGAUGUCGGCUCAUCGCAUCCUGGGGCUGUAGUCGGUCCCAAGGGUUGGGCUGUUCGCCCAUUAAAGCGGUACGCGAGCUGGGUUCAGAACGUCGUGAGACAGUUCGGUCCCUAUCCGUCGUGGGCGUAGGAAAUUUGAGAGGAGCUGUCCUUAGUACGAGAGGACCGGGAUGGACGCACCGCUGGUGUACCAGUUGUUCUGCCAAGGGCAUAGCUGGGUAGCUAUGUGCGGAAGGGAUAAGUGCUGAAAGCAUCUAAGCAUGAAGCCCCCCUCAAGAUGAGAUUUCCCAUAGCGUAAGCUAGUAAGAUCCCUGAAAGAUGAUCAGGUUGAUAGGUUCGAGGUGGAAGCGUGGUGACAUGUGGAGCUGACGAAUACUAAUAGAUCGAGGACUUAACCAUAUAA